rnacentral:rRNA from 1 species
GACGAACGCUGGCGGCGUGCUUAACACAUGCAAGUCGAACGGAAAGGCCCUGCUUUUGUGGGGUGCUCGAGUGGCGAACGGGUGAGUAACACGUGAGUAACCUGCCCUUGACUUUGGGAUAACUUCAGGAAACUGGGGCUAAUACCGGAUAGGAGCUCCUGCUGCAUGGUGGGGGUUGGAAAGUUUCGGCGGUUGGGGAUGGACUCGCGGCUUAUCAGCUUGUUGGUGGGGUAGUGGCUUACCAAGGUUUUGACGGGUAGCCGGCCUGGGAGGGGGACCGGCCACAUUGGGACUGAGAUACGGCCCUGACUCCUACGGGAGGCAGCAGUGGGGAAUAUUGCACAAUGGGCGGAAGCCUGAUGCAGCAACGCCGCGUGCGGGAUGACGGCCUUGGGGUUGUAAACCGCUUUCGCCUGUGACGAAGCGUGAGUGACGGUAAUGGGUAAAGAAGCACCGGCUAACUACGUG